CUCUUUGGUAUGGGUAACAGCAGUUUCAGUGUCUUCCUGUGGUCUGUGAAGAAGAGAAACUUAACAACAAGAAGAGGGAAAGGGAAGGAUGGUAAAUUAUCUGGAGGCUGUUUCAAUGACAUUAGUCACCUAAUGAGAAGACACAGGAGUAAUGAGAAGACACAGGAGGUAGAGCAGCACUUGCUGACUCAGAAGCAUUAACAUGAAACGCUGGAGUGCAGGGCACAAUAAUGGUUGACUGCAGCCUCAACCUCCAGGGCUCAAGGGAUCCUUCCACCUCAGCCUCCCCAGUCGUUGGGAUUACACAGAUAUUUCAAGAUUCAGCAUCAUUUCAGACCCUGAAAAAUCCCUGAAAAUUGAAUUCUCAAUAGAUAAUGCAACUCCACAUAAUAUCUGGAUUUUGUAAAUGCUUGCUAAUAAAUUAUUUUACAACGUG